rnacentral:lncRNA from 1 species
UUUUUUUUUGGUUGGCCAGGGCCAAUUUCGCAUAUUUCUGUGGGUUCCAAACUAUUUUUAAUACUGAAAUGUCGAGCCAGAUUUAAAGUACUUUGAAGAUAUAUUUGAAUUAGGUUAAUGCCCAGUGAAAUAGGAAUCUGAAAAUGUGAAAAAAAUCAGAAAUUAUAAAGUAAUUGCCAAUUUGUCAUCUGUUUUUAUAUUUACAACCCGUUUCAUAUUACUUUCAAGGCGUAGAAAAAUAAGUGGGCCUAGAUUGGGUAUUCUUCAGAAAAAAUAAACUGGGCUCAUUCGCACAAAGAAAAAAUAGCUGGGCUGGUCACAUGGUGAACAUAAAAUAUAAGCCUGGUAGACGGGCCACAGCCCAGUUCAAACCCUGCUCCGUCUCAACAAUACCAAACAAAAAAAAUACUGCUCGAGUAGCUACGUCCUAGGUGUCUGCCAAUCUUGUGCUAUUCUCUUGUCUAUUGACUAUAUACGCUCACAAUGUCGUGGGUCCCAGAUGUCAGGAAAACACUAGGAGGAAGCAUUUUAUUUUUCCAUACGCUGACGUGGUGGGCCCCUACUGUCAUCCUCUCCACGUACUUCUGCCGAUUCCUGUUGUUUGUUGACUAUGUUGACAACGCGAGAGGGCGGCGCCGCGGCGAGCGCACCAAAGCGCAUGGAGGAUGUCGGUGUUAACGAUUUAGGAGACGGUGGGGCGGUGAUGCGUGUGCUGAGGCGCAGCCAGCCAUGGGAGGCAGAAGCAGGCGGCCCCGCCGGCGCUGGUUUGGUUUUGGCGGCUGGAGGAAGACAGGACUGAAGAAACACGACAAACUGUAAAAGCAGCAGGAGUACUUAACAACCUUAACUGAAACUAGCAGGGGCACUUAACAACCAAAGCUGAAAGCAGUAUGAGUACUUAUACAGGUUCAACCGUACAAAGCACGCCUCGAACAGUGCUACUUUGUCUACAGGCUACAGUUAACCAAGGGUGAGGCUGCCAAGCCCCAGGACAAGGCCCAGGCGCCACCCCGCGCAUCCACAACCUUCUGAAAGCGGCUUCAUCUCGCAACAUGGUCAAUAAACAGGAUAUUCGCUUUAGAGCCAUGGAAAAGCAUGAACAUAAUCUUCUGUCCUAUUCUCCAAGAUGGACGGGCCUUCAUUAUCUGAGACCACCCACGAAUAAGUAUCUUCUCACCUCCAAGGGGAAUUGAGUAGGUCGACUUAAACAUCAUGUUGUGACCAAGCGCAAGUCUGACCCGACCAUGGUCAGGCAUCUGUAUAGGAACAAUAGAACUCGGCAGUUCCUGUUUCAAGAAGAUCACAGCUGUAAAAUUAUGUAUAAGCAAUAGUUUAUGAACAACAUAUAUAACAGAAAACAGCUCGUACCAUAAGUUUCUCGACAUAGUUGGACCUGUUCAACGAGUGCAGCAGUGACACACAUAUCCCACGUGGCCUUCCACCAUUGAAACGCCCCACAAGGACCUCAAGAUGAUCAAUAAAGUGUCGGAACAUGUGGAUGUCGUCCCAGUCAACUUCAGUGCCAUCACUAACAGCCGAGUUACUACAGAAUAACAAACGAGCAGCAUGCUUAACUCUGAAAAAACCUACACGUGCCACCAAUUAUAAGAAAAUAUUAGUUAGAAGUAUCAUCUUCGUGAGAGAUUCGUUGCUACUUCUAAAGUUAAAUUGUGAUUAGUUAGACAGAACAAGUGGAUUAAGAAGUAAUCGAGGCAACAAGCAAGAGCCAGAUAUAAAACUAACAUGGAUUAACAAUUGGAACAACGUCGGGGUGGAAGAUCGUAGUGAGGUUGAGACCAGGUUCUGCUAUUUCCAUCAACAUUCGUGCGCCAACUUUCAGUCUGUAACACUUGAGAAAGUUUAUCCAAGUUCGGCCAUAAAAAAGCAGCGAUCUUCUUGGUUCAUGAACCCAACUCGGAAGUAAUAUCCAUGGGUUGUCUUCACUGUGACCAUUAAACUAGUGUAUUCAGUUAUGGCAAGGCCGAGCAUCUUGAGUACAUGUGUUCUGGCAGAGCAAAUAAUACACUGCAGGAAAAAUAAUAUGAGAACACAGCAUGUUCAAAAAAACCACCCUCCCAGAUGGAGAAGAGGAUUCUAGGAACAUACUGUGCGCGUUUCAAAAUGUUGUGGUAGGAUGAGAAGGAACAAGUGUGGCGUCUCGCCGAAGGUGCAGAAAUCUGUAGGGUACUCGCACUUUGGGCACUGCAACUGAAACACACUAGAUCCAGUAUGAAGAAAAAUGCAUCAACGGCGGCGGCUGCCAUCCUAGGAUUACCUGCGACCAAGGGACUUGGAUUUAUUGGGGAUGGAUGAAGAAUUCGUACCUGGUUCUCCAUGAGAAAACCCUAUGCAAUCGCCGAGCGGGGGUUUUCUCUGAACAAGCAGACGAGGGAGAAGGGGAUUCAGGCCCAGUGAAAUAUUGGCGCUUCGUCCGUCCAGCUUACUGCUAAAGCUGGAAAGGGGGGGUUGUGAUUUGACGGCUCAUUGGGCAUUACUGCGGCGCUACGACCGGGGUGUGUCUAUCGUGAAGUUGUGCACUCUAAUUUGUGCAUAUGGCACGUGGACCCCGUUGCCGAUUGCCCCACAUAUCAGCGAAAGGAAGUAGAAAGACAGCAGUAACUAGUUACACAUAAAUAUAUAUUUUGACAGAGAGAUACUCCCUCUGUAAGAAAUAUACAAAUCUUUUAUAUCACAGGCUCACCUUGCCAAGAAAUAUACUCCCUCUACAACGCACGGGCAUUAUGGGGGUUCAGCUUUUUUAUGGGGGUUCAGCUAAGAAUAUAAUACUCAGAUAGGCUCACGGUUCUGGACUUUCGGCCGCAGGCCGACCCUGCAUGUUUGGGGGCCCAUGUGUAAUACCUCAGCGCUUUUCAUAUUGCAAGCGAUCGGUACUGCGCUGGUUUUAGAUGCUGUCGCAAGGCGAAUACACAAAAUUGAAUAAAGCACGACAGCUGUUGGAAUGAAAUCGAACGACAGUUCCUAACCAGCAAUCAGAGUUGCAAUUCUAUCAACGAUAUACCAUGUGAUAAAUAAUAUUGUCGUACUACUUAUACACACAGGACACUUGUUUCACCAUGCCAGAUUAUUACAUCAAAAUCUCUUGGAGGAUAGAUCAGUUCGGCAGUUGCGUGCUGCUACUGGAGAAUUUCAAAGUUGAUUUGGACCAGCUCUCCUUGCCGAGAAAGUUCGAUUUUGACAUCAUCCCCUACCGCAAGAUAUGAUUUAUAUUUGAAUCUUGACCAUCCUUUAGCAUCAAUCAUCAUGCGACCAUCCUUUGUACUUACGGUAUAUUGAGCAGGUUCAUUCACACCAAGGUUGCGCAUGGUAAGAGAAACUUGGCCGCGGUCGCCCGGAUUGUUGAUAGACUCCCUCGUUGCUCUAGGAAUUCUCUGUUUGAAAACAAGAAGACAUACCCAAACAGUUAGAUCAACACAGUGAAUCAUGUGAAACAACAUGGAAAGGAAAAAGAACGAAGCACUUGGGCGGCCAAUGCUUACCAAGAAGGUGGACAUGUCGGUUUUUGUAAGGGCUUUGGUAUAUGAAGUGUGAACUGCAGCCCAGUCUGUUGCCGGUGCAACUGCACAGGCCGGACCAAAUGCAAGUGCAAGUGUUGGUGUAGGUGCCGAAGCCGCUGCUGCUGCCGGAGAUGGUGCUCCUUGUAGAGCUGGUGCCGGUGUCGAUGCUCGAUCCUCCGGUAGAUCAGACUGAUCCGCUGACGCGGUCGGUGCCCAAUCCUCAGCUGGAUCAGACUGAGCUGUUGCCGUUGUCAGUGCUAGAGAAACUGCCGGUGCUCGAUCUGUGCGAGACAGCGGCGAUCGUGUCUGGUCUGCUAUGAUCAGCUUUCUAACUUGACUAGGAUCCGUGACCCUGAUCCAGUUUUUUUCUUCAUUUCUUUUAAACGCAAGAAGGACUAAUUGUGGCAUUUUUAUUAAACCAAACUGCAGUUCAUCAUAGGGAUUCAGCUUGUACUCAGACAACAGACUGAUCCAAUUUUUUCCAGUAAUAUAAGUGAUGGAUAGUGCCUUCAUUACUGACACGACAUAAGAAGUGAAACCUGCAAAAAUAGCCAUCGUAGAGCAAACCAAAUGGUUUAUUCUGUGAUGAAUGUCACAUGGCAAAACCUGCAUCAUAAAAUUGCAGGAAAAGAAAGAAAACAUGACAUUAAAUCAAUAAGAUUUAGACAGUAAAUUAAUAAGAUUUACUUGAUGUGACACGAGUGAAUCCUUACCAGGAAAUCACUAUGUUGAAGUACUAAACAGAAAAUUGAUCGUCCAACUACGCGUGGCAUGCAGGGGCCCUGCCUACUCCCACAAGCAGGACAGUCCAAAGGUCAUGACAAAUCGUAUGGACCGAACAUCCAUGGGACUGGAGAUCUUGGUGGGUGCGAUAAACCCUGCAAUGCAUAUAGAUAUUGGAGUGUAACCAUAAUUGAUAAACCGUCCUCAUAAAAAAUAUGAUCUGGAUACUUCAAAAUCUACAGACUGAAUUGAGUGGACAGACAUUAACAUAGAUCAUUCUCAGGACUGACCACACACCAAGAGCGGCAGUACUAAUAAACAAUACAGGGUUCACAAACACAAAUCAAGUACUGAACAAUAGUACUUACUACAGACAAGCAAAGUUGCACUAACUAAACUCUGCAGACUAUUUCUUGCCACCGACCUACGGGAUAAACCCCGCAUAACUGACUAGGCCAUGGACUUCGUGUGAGAUGUCUACAUGCACCAUCACCAUCUUGUCAACCUUGGAGAACCUAACAGAGUGGUCUUUCCACUCAUAAACAUGAUGAUGAAGACAGGCCGCAUCAGAUUUGUUGGGAAGAUUUACAAGAACCACACCCUUCGUAAUUGAAGGCACAACCAGGAAAUUGUUGUGGUCAAGUACAGCCUCAAGAACACGCCUGACAACAAUGCUACAGGAAAACACUAGUUCAGGACACGUGGCGACAAAGACACAUCAGCUGGAUAGUUCAGCAGUAGAACUCAUCAUCAGGUCUUCCAGUUCACACGGCAUGACUUUGAGAACUUCAUCUCCACCGCGGACCUAGUUCUAAUUCAAACAGAAACCAUAUUUCAUUACUACCUCCGUUCAGAAAUAUAAGAUGAUUUUCGAUAUUAUACUCCAUAUAUGACUACAUAUACGCACAGAAAUGAGUGAACAAAGACACUAGAACAUGUAUUCAAAGGCAUGAGAGCAGAGGGAUUACAUGCAAUAUCCAUAACACAAGUUACUGAGGCAAAUAUGCCCUCUUAAAAGGUAGCAUUGAUGUUCAUAAAGUACUCCCUCCGUCCCAAAAUUCUUGUCUUAGAUUUGUCUAGAUACGGAUGUAUCAAGUUACAUUUUAGUAUUAGAUACAUCAGUAUCUAGACAAAUCUAAGACAAGAAAUUUGGGACAGAGGGAGUAGUUGAAAGUAAUCUAUAAGAAACCAGUGUCAACCUCUCGCAUGUUUUGGUCAAAAGAGGAAUUUAGAACCGUCAUUUGGCACACUAAAAUCACAUGCAAGAUCACCCAGAAAGUUGUACUACCAGUACUAGUACUGCAUGUUAGAUGAAAAAACACGAUCAAGAUCGAGAAAAAGAUCGUCAACAAGAGACAUUACCUGGACUUGCUUAAUGAGGGAUCCCGGAGAGGGGAGCUUGGACAGGGCGAUGGCUUUGAGCUUGUCUGCGGUAGUCUCAGCGGGGUGCUUGCGCUUCUUCGUACCAUGAGCCUCGACAGUUUUGGCCAGAUCCAUAGACAUCACGUCGGCCGGUGCUCCGGCGUCCAUCCAAGAGAGGAAGCUGAGAGAGAAGAGUGAAAGGAGGAACGAGAUGAGGGAGAAGCGAAGUGAGUGGGGGUUUUCUUCAAGAGAGGAAGCUGAGAGAGAAGAGUGAAAUGAUGGUUGCUUUGUCCGUCCAACUUACUGCUGGAAAGGAGGGGGCUUUGUGAUUUGACGGCUCAUUGGGCAUUACUGCGGCGGUUCGAUCGGGGUAGUCUACCGUCACUCUACUACGGAGUAAUUUAGUGCAUGGCUGGUGGACCCAGGUGCUGGUUGUCCCACACAUCGGUGAAAGUGAGUAAUUUAGUGCAUGGCUGGAGGAGGAUCCACACGGUAGAGCGUGUCCACUGUUUUUCAUUCUGAAGAAAAAAAUGAUUACAGCAAGCGUCUCCACUCUUACAACGGAGGAGUGCGAAACACGGCAGCCACUUGAACAUACACAGUGCUCCUACUACUAGGCAUGUGCAGUGGUUCAUACAUCAGUACUACACAAUCUUGUUGCUGUGUUGUGUGCAUGUCAACUACUACUAUAUGUAACAUAGUACCGCUUUUUCAACUGCCCGGUCGAGAAUGAACGGUGAGAUCAAUGUUAACAGAACUAGGUCCACAGCACAUGGAGAGUACGGUGCUACAGUACUCCAUGAAACAUGAAACAUAUGAAGCACAUCCUAUAGUGUUAGAUAGGGUGUAUGAAGGGUGCACGGGAUGGGAGCAAAAGUUCCCUUCUCGACCCACUUUUGGGUGUUUGGCAGAGUGCAUGAAGGGUGCAUGAGUCCACACUAGUAGGUUGACAAAAAUACACGAAGAAGAAACAAUUAUAUUGAGAUGAGAAUGCAACCAAACACACUCGCACGCUUUGUGCUACAGUGACGGAUCUACACCGUCUGAGUUUGAUCCAACGGUCAUGUUGCGCCGAGACAUGGACAUGCCCAUGCAGAGGGCGCCUAAACACCACCGAAGUCCCUCUGCUUCUCGAGGCGCAUGACGUUGGUGAUGCAGGGUGCAACCGCCCGCAGAGCCCGCUCCCAGUCGACGGGAGCCAGCUCGUCAAAGACGGCGUCCAAUGGCACGAAUGGAUUCCGGUGACGGAGCCCUGAAAGGAUUCGCCCGGCAACGGCAACGGCAGCGUGCAGCCCCUCCUUGUCCAGCUUAGCCCCCACCAUCGCGCGGAGACGGCUCAGCUCCUCGGAGAAAUAGGUGAAGAAGAAGACGAGGUCAGGAAGCCGCAGCUCGUUGAAGUCGACCGGGUGGUCGAACGGGUUUAGCCCGACAGCCGGCAUCGUCGCACUGGCACGACGGUAGGCAUCACGCAGCCGCAACACGUGUGUGGCAACUUGGUUCACCAAGUGGCUGAGGCGAUCCUGGACCUCGUCAUGAUCGGCCCACUCGCGCUCUAGCCGGCUCCCCUGACGGCCUAUGGUAUCUCCCGCUUUCUGCAGCAACACCGCCGAUGCCUCGAGCAUCUUUGUGGUGGACGCCUGCCGCUUUUGAAGCUCCGUGAACUCCCGCACAUAACGGAGGAGCAUGGCACUCCUCUCCUCCUUGAGCUCACGGAGCUCCGCGUCCUUGGCCCUGAGCUCCGCAUCCUUGGCAUGGAGCUCCUCAGUCAGGUGCCUCACCUCGGACUCCGUGAUCUGCUGCGCCGCCAUGGCACUAGGUAGAAGCAAUGGGGAGAGGAAGCAAAGGGGGUGAAACGGCUGAAAGGCAAUGCAAUCUACGGGAAGGCGGAGGGAACCAGCCGAGGAGCGGGGAAUCUUUUGGUUUUCACCACGGUAAAACACCAGUCGAUGGCUUCUCACAUCAGGGAGCAGUGGGUUUUUACAGGCGGAGUCAUCGUGACUAAUUGCUACCGCGCCUGCUCCCGUCAAUCAAAAAAUUAAAAAUCCUGCCGCGCCUGCUCCCGUCAAUCAAAAAAUUUAAAAUCCUGCCGCACCCAAACACUAGAGCAACGCCGCGGUGGAUAUUUAAAUUUACCUGCCGGCAAGUAGAUAAAAAAAGGGUGAAAAAACAAAUGUGGCGGCGGCCUAGCUAAUCGGUCGAACUAGCCCAACUAGCUAGCCACCGUGCUUCACUGAUGUACUCGGCGGGAAAGGUGGUCUUUCGUGAUUUGACGACUCGUUUACUUGCUUCGGCGCUAUGACCGAGGAGGACCUAGAAAACGCGCGGUAGGGCGUCGCACCUCAGGAAGAAUAUAUGCGUGCACCACCCGGGAGGACCCCGAAACCAUGCGAUAGGGUGUGCCACGUCUCGGCACGGAGGAAAAAUGUGCGUGUAAAAAUAUAUUGUAUCAGAUGUAGUACCUAUGGUUCGACCUCGGGACCCAGCCAGUCGGUCGAAAACACCCCACUAGCCACACAGCUUUAUCAUGCAAACGUGGCACGGUUAGCUCCGUCUCGACCAGCCGCAAUGUCUCUUGUUCUAGGCGAUUCUUCUAUUUUCCAAGCUUUUUUAGUUGUAAUAACACCACAGCAAGCUAGUGCCGCUCUUCAUGUGUGCCCGUGCAAAGGUUAGACGAUGGAGAGAAGAGAGAUUGAGAUCAUAGACCUGGGACCACCCGUAAGUGAGAAAACGGUCAUGCACGUGUUGACGAGGCACUCCCUCUACUCUACUCAACGCAAGUACUGUAUAAAAUCAAGUUAUGGGACAAAGCCAACAACCGUUCAUUUUUUCAGGCUAUCGACUUACGAUUUGUAGUCCAGGUUGCCAGUUCGAAUCUCGUCUUUCAGAUUUGUUAGUUUUAGGUCCAAAUUUGAUUAAUGACAAGUGGGACCCCCAUGUGUUGUUCCGAUAUUUCAGUGUAGGAUGGUUUUUUUGAACAAACACUUUGCGCGGUUAGACAAGUAACGGCACGAGUUACACGUAUUUUGCAAGUUUACGAACAAAAAUGACAAUGGCAUAGAAUAUCACAUCCACCCCGUAGCUUAGAUACUAUGGUGAUACGAGUUUUUACACCGUUGGAAGUGAGAUCCAAUGGCUUGGUAGUAGUCUUUGUAAUUAUGCGCAACUUCCAAACUCUCCAAAGUUUUUUUUGCAAAUAAAACAUUCAGGCCUCGUGUGUGCCGCUGCAUCUUCAAUCCAACGGCUCCCCGGUGCUAAUAUUAGGUGCUCCCCGUAGCUUAAUUACCCGCUAUGGUGAUAUGAGCAUCUAGGUCAUAUGAUCAGUGAUCAGAUGGCACAUGCAUAGUACUUGUACUUUCUGCGCAUUUCCCAAACUCUACCAGCCGUAUAUUGCAAAAACAUUCAAACCUCCUACUAUGGGCUGUUAGAUCUCAGUGAACUCGUAUCACCAUAGAAUCUAUGGUGCAGGAGCACCUCAUACUCUCCCGUGCGAGAAAACAUAAGGUGCUAUCGCAGCUUGGAUGCUACGGUGAUACGAGCUUGGAGGUCGUUUGAUCUGAGAUCCAAUGGCAUCUGAUCAGUCUUUGUGCUUGUAAGCAGUGGCCGAACUCUUUGGGGGCUUUUCUGCAAAAAACCAUUCGAACCACCGAGGAGGUGUUGGGUUACAAAUCCAACGCCUCCGAAGAGCUUGUAUCACCAAAGCAUCUAAGGUGUGGUGGCACAUGAUAUUCUUACAUACAGGAGAAUAUGAUGUCCUCCUUCAUCUUAGAUGCUACGGUGAUACGAGCUUCGAGGUCGUUGGAUAUGGGAUCAAAGGGCAUCUAAGUAGUUUUUGUACAAAUUGUGUGCAAUUCUCAAACUCAUCAAGGUUUCCUGCAAAAAAAUUAAGACACAUCAUGUGAGGUGCUAUAUCUCAGAUCUACAAGCUCCAAGCAACUCGUAUCAGCAUAUAGCAUGUAAGGUAUGGGGGCACAUGAUAUUCUCCCGGGUAGGAGGGGUGGGCGGUGCACAACCAAUCGGUGGUUGGGAGGGUGGGAACAAAUAUAAUCUAAACAACCCUAAACAGAGCUCCACAGUUUUAUCUAAUGUCAAGGGGUUGACCCCCGACAAUCAUAGCUCCGCCUAAACACAACAUUUGCAUGUACUGUAGUACUAGACUUAAUAUUCAUGUUUCAGUUUCAUGUUCAUUUUAAAUAUUGAACUGAGGACCAUGGAUGUCUUACAUUUUACUCCCUUCGUUCCUAAAUAUUAGUCUUUUUAGAGGCUUCAAAUGGACUGGCACAUACGGAUGUAUAUAGACAUAUUUUAGAGUCUAGAUUCACUCAUUUUGCUCCGUAUGUAGUCACUUGUUGAACUCUCUAAAAGACUAAUAUUUAGGAAUAGAAGGAGUAUUUUUGAACUUGUGUCAUACAUGCAUGGGUUGGAAAAAUAGAUGCACUAUACUUAUUGGAUUGUUGUUGUGUUCGUGCGUGUGUGUCUGUCUGUGUGUGUGUGUCUGUGUGGUCAAAUGCUUGAUACAUACAAAGUUUUCUCACCUCCAUAUUGUUCAUCUUUUAAAUUUGAAUUUGCAUUGGAAAACUUACUAGGGAUACCAUGAAAUGUGAAAUCCACGUUGAGAUCAGUAUAUCACAAAUUCACUCUAAUUCAACGACUCGUCAUAAAUCAAUUACCACGUUGAGAUUAGUAUUUGCAAGGAAAAUACGGGUAUUGUAAUACACAUAGAUUCGUUCGGCAAUUUAAAAGGUUCCUUUUGUAUUCUCAAAUGGUAGGACCCAACGGCGUACCAGCCAGACCUUGGUUCGUGUUGAUCCUAAAAAAACGGGCUCGUGUCCUUCGGUGGCGUGCGUGGUACGCACAUUAGGCAACCCCAACCAGUCGAGCCUCCGCGUUUCAAGUCGAAAUAUAUGGCGGCCAGAAUUCCAGCCCUAGGAAAUUCCCCUCAUGUCCCCGGUCCAUAAUGACUACCGAUGAACAACGGAGGGAUGCUUUAGUAAGUAGACAACGUUACCUACCGUGCCGAGCACGGUUCAAUUCCCUCGGUCGCCGCUCGCCAAUGUCACCCGUCAACUGCAUUGCCUAGUACUACUACUACUACACCAGGAUGAGCACAGAAUUGAGCCCGUUUGUUCGUGCCUAGUACUUUGUUUGUUCGUGCCUAGUACUUGAGUUAAUAUAUCAGGCAAUGCACUGGUACGGAGGUAUUAUCCUUUUUCUGGUUUAUAGGGCUUAUCUCAAAAUUUUAGUUUUCCCAUUUUAUAAGUCUCAAUUUGGUUGUUCCCCAUCACAUGUUCAGAUUUCAAGGUGAAAUAAAUCAUUACAUGCAAGUAUUAAGAGAAAAUUGACCAAUGCAUGUACUUUAUGCAUGCAUGCAUUGCAAUUAAUGCAUUCGUAAACACAAUUUUUGAGGAAAACAAGCGCAUUAAUUGUGUGGUUUUGCAAACUACAACAAUUGUUCCACCACUCACCAUCUACAUUGGUUGGUGAGAUUUUUUAAUUGAGCCCUAUAAACCGGAAAGGAGGUUUAACUAAGCAAAAUGUUUGACCAAAUCCUUUCUUAAGAAAUACAAUAGGACAGAUGUACGGCUUGAAAAUUUAUUGCAUGAUGCAGGUUAUGAUAUUGUUUCGAAUCCUGGGUCUUAAAUUUCAGAAAAUCCAAAAGGGAGCAUAAAUUCUUGAAACUGAGCAUGGUCACGUGAUAUGGCACAAAUAUUACUUCGUAAGUUUUUUUCUUCAAUUCGAGACAAGCUGCUUAUGACAAGUUGCACAAAUGAAGAGCCAAGGUAUUUUGGAACAAAGACCUAUCACGUUUUUUUUUGAGGGAAAAGACAUGUCACGUUAAGGCCAACGCUUUCACUAUUGAAACCGUGGGCGUUUACGUGCCGCCACGAGUCCCCGCUUCUCAUCGGCAGGUGCCGUCCCAGCAAGCGUGUGAGUCGACGGGAGGCGUGCGAGCAGACCGCUAUGCAGACUCACCGGAAGGUGAGCCCUUCGACCAGGCUCCGCCGCCCAUCGUAGUCCCAAUUGCUCCCACUUUUAAUGUCACCGGCGCCGCAGUUUAAAAUCAACCCCGCACUACCCGGUAUCGCUACAAUCCUCUCUCUUCCUCUCCGAUUCUCCUGUCGUCUACCUCCAACUAGCCUGACCUAAACGUACGCCAUGCCGCAUCAUGAUAGUCUGCCCUUAGUGUUCCAGUUUCAUGAGGAAGACACCCAGCCGGAGUCUCAAGAACAUAAGGCGCUUUGGGACGAGCUUGAACUGGCCUUGCGGGAAGACGCCGCGCCUGUCCCCGCUCCCGUUCUGGCUCCCGUCGCCCCGACUGCGCCAGAGCCCAUCCCCGUGGCAUUGAUGGGCUGGGAGCCGCAAAUUGUCGCCGAGCUUGAUGCCACGGGGUUCCACGAGGUCCCCGCCGACUUUCACGCGCCCGCGCACCUGCCAGCGCAUGCGCCUGCGUGUGCACUGACGCGCACGCCCGUACCGGUGCCCGUGCACCUGCCAGCGCAUGCGCCUAUGCAUGCACUGACGUGCGCGCCCGUGCUGGUGCCCAUGCACACGAACGUCUCCGUCGCGCCAUUGACAGCGCUUGUCCCUGCGCGGGUGCCAGUGCCUCCCUCAGCGGCAUGGAUGGCCGCCGUCGACCGCUUCCUUGCACCAACGCCAGUCGCCUCCUCCCGCCAGUUGACUCGCUCCGAAGUCCAAAACAUUUUGGCCUUCCUUGAAGCUAGGCCAACAUCCAGGAGUACGCCAACAAUGGCGCAAGACGCCGCCAUCGCCGUCGGUCAGUGGCCCGACGACACACAGAGCACGGCAGAGGAGCCGCUUCCCACCGCGAGACGCCCCCGCCGCCGCCGCUAAUCUAAAUUUGCCAUGAAAAAUGUUCGGAUUGCCAUGCUUAAAGUCCAAACGUUUAUCAUUUCUGUUUAUUUUAUAUCGAUCGUCAUAUAAUUUAAAGUCGGAGUCAGACUGAACGAAAUGUAUGGUUUGAUCGACUGAAUGUUCUGCUAGAGCCGUAUCAAACUAAAUAUAAAACGUCAUCAAGCCACAUGUAUUCCUUGUCAUCCAACGACCUAGACUGCUUCAAUGUCGAGCGCUCAACAUGUUUAGCGUGCAGUUAAUUUCAUGCCAAAAAUAGUGCUAAUCACAUGACAACACGCAAAUAAUAUCCUAGUACUUAAUAUCCGCAUGCACUUAAUAUACUUCCAAAUUAACGUGCAUUGCACGUACACACUGACUAGUGCUGCUAGUACGUAAAACUGGUGCCGUGACUUGUGAGUUGUGAACGCAUCCAGAUAUGGUCAACGGCAACAUCGCCCGCGAGUUCUUCCUGUUUGCCCGUGCGUCUAAACGCAGAAGGGGAGGAGAGAGAGAGAGCACACAUGGAACCCACAGGUAAGUGAAGGCGAAUAGUACUAAAAAUAAUAUUAGAUGUUAUCCAUUAAUUAGGUUGUGGUAAUAUAAAAACAUUAUGUGAACAAAGGGGGUACAACAAACAUUGCUAUUCUACAUAUGUUGCCUAUUGACGUGCGGCUUGAAGGCCGGUCGCAUGUUCGAUCCUCAUCCUUUAUUUUUUAAUUUGUAUAUGGGUCCAAAUUUGUUUCAUGACAUGUGGGCCCCUUGGUGUGUAGUUUGUUGCACUUUAAUUUGUGGGUCGAAAUUUGUUCCAUUCCAAGUGGACUAUCGGUGUGUAGUUUUGUAGCUUAUUUAUAAUAAUUAAAGAGAACAACAUAGUUUUUCAAUAAUACCAUGGUGCGACGUUGAAGGUGAGAAAGGACGUGCGAGAGAGCGAUGACCGAGCCAGAGGGAAAUCAACUAGGGGAGUUGCGUGGGUUGCAACGGCGUUUGGAGUAGUUGUGGGCCGAAUGCUACGAAAAUAUAAUCUAAACCGACCGGAAUAAAUGCCUACACAAAUUAAUCCAAGGUUGGAGUGCCCCUCGCAAUGUAAAUAGCUCUGGCUUUGCGAGGGAUGGAGAGGUAGUAGCUUCAACGCGUGGAAGAUACGGUAUGAAAAAGUGAGGUCAAUCGAGAGACAUAUAGAUAGAGAGACAAAGUGAGUGUGGUCCGACAUUCAUUGAACAAAUAUAUAUGCUCCGGAGAGAUAUUGUCCGAUUGAGCUUUUGGUAAGGGUGAGGGCUGUAAGAUAGAGCUUGAGAGAUGAUCCAGUCAUAGACGUGUAGAUAUAUUUUGUGCGUGGGAGGAAGCAAGGUCAACCGAUCACAUAGGGUCGCCGUGCGAUCGAAAGAGUGAGACGGGUUGGAGAGAGUGACCUAGAUAGACGAUGUGCGUGAGAGAGUAUAUAAUGUGAAUAGGUCGAAUUGGGCUCAAACAUGGUGAUAUAUCGUUUUUGUCCGAGAAAGAGCGAGGUAAAUCAAGACAUACUCACACACACACACACACACAGAGAGAGAGAGAGAGAGAGAUUGACUGAGCGUGGCCCACCAUGAGGUCGAAAGAGUGGCGGCGGCUUAGAUGGACUGACCUAGAUAGACAAUCUGCGUGAGAGAGUAUAGAGUGUGUCGAUCGAGGCCCGAAUAGGGAGAUAUAUCAUUUGUGUGUGAAAGAAAACGAGGUUAAACGAGACUCGGAUAAAGAGAGCGAGAUUGAGAGAGUGUAGCCCGCCGUGCGGAAGAAAGAGUGAGACAGUCUCGAGGGAGUGACCUGGAUAUACAGCAUGCAUUCGUGCGCACGAGAGGUUGGGGGGCUAGAUAGGCAAUGCAUGUAUUUAGCACGAGAGGGUGAGAGGGAGAGGGGGAGAGAGAGAGCUCGGCAUGGGGUGCAAUGGCGGGUGUGUGAGGUAAAUACAUUUGGUAACAUGAGUGGAAAAAGGGGUUGUGUACUUGAGAGACUUAGAGAUCGAAACAUGGAGAGAAAGAAUGAACGUGUGUUGGAAACCAAUAGCUUGCUAAGGUGGUUAGGAGAGGAAGAUUGACCGAUACAGGAAGUAUGUAGCGUUUGCGCGCGGGGGGGGGGGGACUAAAAACAACAUUUGAAUGUACAUAGUACGAGACUUAAUAUCGAUGUUUCAAUUCGGUGUACAUUGUAAGAUUUGAACCGAGGACCAAGCAUACGGGUAAUUAUUUCGAAUUCGUGCCAUACUAAGUUUCGAAAAGUUGACAUUGGCUCAAUUUGUUGUGCUAUUUUGUAGGUCAUAUGUUUGAAUCCAUCCAAAAGCUUUCUCACUACCAUGGUGUUCAUCAUAUACAUAUGAAUUUGUAUUAAAAAAGUAGUGUGGAUACAGUGAAAUGUGAAAUCCACGUUAGAAUUGGAGAUCGCUACGUGACACACACUCUAAUUCAAAUAACUAACUAUGUGACACACACUCUAAUUCAAAUAAAUAAUUAUGUGACACACUCUAAUCCACGUUAGCGUGGAUACCGUUUUGAUUUUUUUUCAAAUAACUCCUCAUUAAUUAAUUUAUAGUACUCCCUAUGUUCACUUUUAUAAGACCUUGAAGACAUUUCAAACAAUGUGCAAAACAGUUCAUUUUAAGUUGUCUGAAACGACUUACAAAAGUGAACGGAUGGAGUAUCUCGUUUCGAAUGACUAAUUAUUGCAAGGAAAACACGGGCAUGGUAAUACAUACAAAUUCGUUUGCAAAUGAAAGAAGAUUCGUUUGCAUUCUCAAAUGUAGGUGCACCAGGCAGACCAGGGUCGUGUCGGGGUGGACGCUGCUUCGGUGCCUUCAAUAGCCCUUGGGUGACUGACAUGUGGACCAGCCACCUGCUGGGCCCACAUGUCAUGGACACAAAGGCAGGUGCCUUAAGGCACCGAAGCGUAGUCCUGUCGGGGUGGUCGCGUGUGUCGGACGGACGCGUAGCACCCAGCCACCCACCCCCCCUCCCCCCCAAAAAAAGGACGACGACAAUAUAAGUUCGCGCUUCCACGUUUCGGAUUGAAAUAUCUAGUGGCCCCAAUUCCAGCCCUGCAAAAUCUCUCUUCUCCACCGUCCCCUUCCGUGCCCAGAUUGCUCAAAUCCCUAAUUCNNNNNNNNNNNNNNNNNNNNNNNNNNNNNNNNNNNNNNNNNNNNNNNNNNNNNNNNNNNNNNNNNNNNNNNNNNNNNNNNNNNNNNNNNNNNNNNNNNNNNNNNNNNNNNNNNNNNNNNNNNNNNNNNNNNNNNNNNNNNNNNNNNNNNNNNNNNNNNNNNNNNNNNNNNNNNNNNNNNNNNNNNNNNNNNNNNNNNNNNNNNNNNNNNNNNNNNNNNNNNNNNNNNNNNNNNNNNNNNNNNNNNNNNNNNNNNNNNNNNNNNNNNNNNNNNNNNNNNNNNNNNNNNNNNNNNNNNNNNNNNNNNNNNNNNNNNNNNNNNNNNNNNNNNNNNNNNNNNNNNNNNNNNNNNNNNNNNNNNNNNNNNNNNNNNNNNNNNNNNNNNNNNNNNNNNNNNNNNNNNNNNNNNNNNNNNNNNNNNNNNNNNNGCAUCGUAGCGCUCCGCUGCCACUCAAGAUCUGCAUCCGUGCGCGGCCAGCCAAUGCCAGCACAUCACCCUCAACGGCUCUGAAGUGACCCGCACUCUAGCUAGGCGAGCAUGCCCAAACGCUGGCCCGAACUAGGUAUCCACACAUCACUCCCUUGUGCACUGUUCCGACGAUGUUUGGAUAUCCUUUCACUGCUCUGUUAGCUUACACGCCUAUGCAACUCUGAGUUUAACUCUUAUUUCUUCUGGAGAUAUCAUCUGAAACAAGCAAAUCCAUUUUUUAGCGAAGCAUGACGGGGCUACGGGAUCUGGUACACAUCCUGCACACCCGUAUAACCUUGUAAGUAUCUGUCCUCCGGUACGACAUCAAGGUCGAUUCCUCUUAUUUGAUCAACCAUUCGUCGUGUCAAAAAUGCAGAGGGGGAUGCAAGGAGCACAAGGCCUGCACAUCCAAGCAAGUGGUAACAUGGACUUGUACAUGGAACAUCCCAAGCGCAAGCAGAGCUGCAGCGAGCCUGUACAACGAGCUAGCGUAAGUCCCUGCAUUUCGUUUAAUUCGUACUGGCAUUCAUGUAUGAUUUGUGUGUAGUGGUUGAUCCACGAAUUCAAGUUACCAGGGGUGAACAUUUAACUUAAAAAAUACGAAGGCACUUGCACUCCAGAAAUCAACAUAACUUGAGAAAUGUGAAGCUACAUGCACUUUGAAAACCAGCUAAUGAUCCAAAGUAGUUCAGAUUAUAAACACUAAAUGAUGCAAUCACCAAAAAACACAAAAUGCAACAUGUUGUACAAGGACUAUAAACAUGGUCUGUACCUGCCUGAAUUAUUCGUUCUCUAGCUGAAAAUAUCGAAGUGUAAUUGCACGUAUAACCAGUGCGCAAACUGCAUAUCAAUAUAUCUAUCCUGCACAAGUAUGCCAAUAGUUUCAAACAACAGAUUAGAAAAGUAUUUAUGCUAUGUUGUCAUGAUACAGGAACUUUCUUGUAGAUGGCCUCGAUGUUUCCUCAAGCUAUGAAAAUGCACUAUAAUUUGCUUGUCAUCAAUGCCUGCAAAUCUCUGUCUCUCUCAACAUAGUACAUCAUCAUUAGACACUAAAUCCUUCAAUGAGCUUGCAAAAUGCUUGCAUUAGAUCCCUCAUUAGACACUAUAUGUUCAUCACCAGGAGCAUGUAAAAUGUUUGCAUCAAAUCCUUCAUUAGCAGUCUGUUCAUUAGACACUUCAGGCUCAAGAACAACAUGAGCUUGUAUGUUUGCACCGGAAACUUGAUUAGAUACAUCAGAUUCAGUCAGUUCAGUAUUGAUUGGGGGAGUUAUAAAAUAAGUAGAAAUUGGUUUCAUUUUCUCACAGAUUCCCUGCAUACAAGCAGUUUUACAACACCGUCAGGUUUAACUAUUGGCCAGAAAUUAAAGAGUUGAAUUAGAUAUAAUCAGGGAUGUGAUGUACCUGCUCGUUGCGCAUGCUACUCUUGCAAGCUGCGACUGUCCGUUUGCGCAAGCUCGAUGCCAUGCCCGUGCUGCCGCCGCUGCCUCCCACGCAGGCUACACCCAGGGUUGGAUCUUCAUCUUCUUGUCCUUCCAUUCGCUUGAAGCCCGGCGACCGCCCUCCAACGAGGGCGCGAGGAAGUGUUGUGUCGGUCUGUCCAGCGGCGGCUAGGUUAGGAGCAAACCAGACUGGAGACUAGAGCGAAUGAAUUGGGAUUUUUCCUGUUGUCGGUCGAUAUGGGAGGCGCUCGUUUGGGUCGCGAGCCUGCUAUAGGGCCUGCCUUGCACUUAUGUUAUUGGUCCAUCCAAAUUGAAACAUUUUUCUUCAUUUUUUACAUUGCCUGCUCGUGCGUUGGGACGAACAAAACUAGCAUGCGCCAACCUGGACGACUCAAACUAGGUGCACACUUUCCAGCCACCUGAGGCGGCCGCCCAUACCAACCCCUAUGGUGGUGUCGCCCCUUUUUGCGUGUAUGAUUGGAUAGUGAAAAAUAUUCUAGUUGCACUUUUGAUUUACCCACAGAAUGGUUGAAUUGCUUGUUUCUAUGAACUGAGUUCGCCAAUAAUGUGAAGGAUGCUAGUCUUUUCAUCCUAUUGUAGAUUGCUUAGAUCUCGAUAUCCAAAAGUACUCGCAUGAAAUAUACAGUAAAACACAGUGUGAUGUGUUUGGCUACAACUAGUCUGACUACACGUCCUCAUAUAACAUAUCAAGGACGCACCAUCUUACCAGAUUAACCAUUCGACUUACCCAUGCAGUGUAGGAAGAAAGAAGUAUUGGGACUGCGUAUCCAAGCAAUUGAUGCCAUGGACUCCUUUGUACAACCUUGUAAGCGAAAAAGAAGUUGCAGUGUGCCUGUACAAAGAACUAGCGUAAGUUCAGUUACCUGCUUCUCGGAAUUUUAGUUAGCCACUUAUUGCAAAAUUGUUCAAUUACGUUGCUUGGAUUAAUUUAGUUUGCUACUGAUUACAUAAUGGCACAACUUGUUAAUCAUAUUGUAGACUGCGCCUAUCUAUGUGUUUGAUACUUACUGUUAAGAAUUACCUGUUUGCCUUAACUUAAAUAUCUACUUGUUUGUUUAACUGCUUUGCUGCCGCAACAACGGGUUACAAUGAUGUUAAUAACUACUCCCUUCAUCCCAUAAUAUAGGACGUUUUUUGACACUAGCAUAGUGUUAAAAAAACGUCUUACAUUAUGGGACGGAGGGAGUACUUUUCAGCAUCCAAUUAAAACUCUUUAAUUCCUUGUUUGUUUAACUAGUUUGCUGUUAUAACUCCCAGUUGAGAUGUUUUGCUAACUUCAACAUUUCUGAAUCCAAUCGGAACUUUAAUGGCAAAACAGGUUAGCCCAAGAUCAAAGAGCGAGGUCCCCAUGGACGUUGCAUCAUCCCACAACAGUGGCACCGGCACGAUCGUGCAUUAUGAAUUGCCAACUGCUGAUGCUCUAGAGGCUAAACUAGUGGUAGAAAGAGAUUCUGCUUCUGCACUUAGAGAUGAAGUUGACAUGUUGAGGAAGCAAACAGCACAAUCACAAGCAGUACUCAAGACAACCAUUAAAUAUUUGGUGGAUUUCAAAACGAAGCAAGCUAAGACUGACCAGAUUGUUAAGAUCCUGAAGGAAAAAAGAAAUUAAAUUCCCACUUGGUAAAUCAUAGGUGAAAUGUUCUUUCCAUAGUUGAACAACCUUUGUGUUGUCUGUUCAUGUAAUCAAUCAAACCAUUUGUUUUAGAGAUCAUGUAAUAAUUUUUUUUGUUUUUUGGUUUGUAAUUUUAUUUGAGCACAAGUCUGUAUUAAUUGAUAAGACUCGGAGACAUUUCAUUUGGAUUGCUGUGCCAGACCUAUAAAUAUGCCAAUCGGGCUGAAUGUGCAUUAGCAAUAGUAGUAGUAUAGAUGGACCAUAAGUGGCACGCAUCGGAAAGGGCCGAGAUGCUGGCUAAAGAAAAGAUGUUGGUGUAGCCAAAAAAAGUACUGCGGCCUGGCUUAUGUAUGUUAGUUGAUAUUAUUGAUCCAUAUACUCUAUAAGUGUUUAUAUGUCUGUUAGUUCUGUACAUUCUUGGUUGAUUGACUCGGUAUUUGAAUCUUGAUACAUCGCUUGUGUACAUAUCUAAAUGGGAGUACACAUUAUGCUGCGUGUGACAUUUGAGUUGGACAUGAAGUGUUCCAAAUAUUCGAAUUCACCUUAAAUUGGAUACUAGUUUCUGAAUUUGAGUAUCGGCAUUUGUAAACCAUAUUCAUACAUGACAGUUGAAUACAUCUUUGCCAUCCUUUUGAAGAUAUAUAAAAACACAUAGAACGAUUUUUAAAGAUUCAUAUAGGAAUACAAAAUGGAUUCGAAUUUAGUUGCCAGGGUAAACGUGGAUGCUUAUUGUCCCAAAAUUUGAAAGAAGCUGCAAAAUGUCCACUGCCACGUCCGUUGCCUGAAGCCAAGUGUUUGGGAGAUGGAAAUUACUGUCUACCCAUUACACGGACAAUCCAUCGGCCUGAUUUCCACUGCUCUAAAUAGGGGUAGGUUAGUAACUUCAAUUAGACGUGACACGACCGCCUCUGAGCCCAUUCCGACGCAGUGGGUGUCAAACAUGGGCGGCAAAACAAUUUGAUUCAAGCUCGUCCGAAAGACCUCUGUUUCUCCCUCCAUUCCCCAUUCAUACACGGUGGGCGGCAAAACAAACUCGACUCGGCCGAAAUCGAUGUAGGCAAAUAUUUUCAAUAGGGGCAGGUUUGUAACUUCACUCAGACAUGACACAACCGCCCUACCUGUCAGCCCCGUUCAUACACUGUGGGCGCCAACCAUGGGCGCCAACCACCCUCUCCUCGCCCGAAAUCGCUCUGGGCAAAUAUUGGCGAGAUGCGAGAUUACCGUCCUAUCCCCAACCGACGAGACGUCCAAAUUUUAAACGGGGGCUAAGUUCAUAACUUUCCCAUAUUUCAGACAGGCGCAUCCCAAAAACAUGGUUCCUCGUACCUCUCCCUCCAUUUUCCCAUUCAUACACCAUCCGCGCUAGAACACCCCAUCCCCACACCAGCCUCCGUUCGCCACCCUAUCCAUCGCCGCCGUCCUCCACCACAUCCAUCGCCACCGUCCUCCACCAUGCCGGAGCGCCUACCAAGACCACGUCAUCCACUGCUAGAGAUGGACGUUUCUCAUCCACGGCGACGGACCAAUAGCCUUGCAUCGCGUCCUCUCGCUUCAUCGGCGCUGUCGUCCUCUUUGUCGGGGCCGCUCACACGACCUUCUCUUCCACCGCAACGGGACUUAUCCCCCGAUGCACCCGUCUACCAUCGCAGAUCUGCUUUAACGCCACUGACAGCCAUCGCACCCCCGAUGCUUACACGGCACCGCAAGAGAGGUGGUACUUUAUAUCUCCUCAACUUUUUGAUCUCAACCAGAAAAUAGAUCUUAACUUGGUUGCUCUACUUUCUUUUCAGCUCUUAGAAUUUAGUUCUUAGUUCGAAGCAAACAAUGGAUGCUAAAUAUCAUUUCUCCGGUUUGUAGCUUCAAAUCUGCCAUGGCACAGCCAUAAGAUGGUUUAAUUGAUCAUGCUUAGGGUUUAAUUGAUCAUGUUGGUUCCGUGGUGGUUUCUUUAAUAGAAAUCGGAGGGAAAACCCUCUUUUCCUAAAAAAAUAUGCUUAGAGUUUCCCCCUUUUAUGAUCACUAUACGAUCAGAAUACGUGCUUCAUGUCAUAAUAACACUACUCCACGCAUCAAGCUAAACAAGCUUAGAUGUUCAAAUACGAAUCUGAUAUUAUUAAAACAGAGUUGUUUAAUUGGUCAGCUAAAUGUUCCUAAAUUAGUUUCAAAAAUGCAUGUUCGCCGCUCGGGUGUGUAUCUCUACAGGGUGCCCACGGUGGGCUGGCCCACCCUGGGAUUUUUGGUCGUCCCAGGCCCCGAUUCCCCUCUGUUCUGCUGCGCGCUUCCGAUCUCUACUCGCCCCCAGCUGCCUGCCUCGCCAGCGACUUGCCGUCCCCAGACGGCAUGACUCUAGGAGGAGACGCCGGACUAACAGGAGGCCAGGAGCCGCUCGCCCAACAGCGUCACCGCUGCCCGGGCGCGCCGCCGUGCCUACCUUCCCAGUCUGUUCAGGGCUCAGACGUGCAGCACCCACCAAGCCAACCCGAUUUAUCCUGAGAUACGUCCUCAACACUCAGCAGCCACUGCCCAUCACCCAUUUUCUAAUUGAUUCAUUACUCAUUAGGUAGGACUGUCAUUAGGGUUUGUUGUGUGCUCAGUGCUACCUAAACUUAAUGGUUCAGAUGCAUUUCGGUAAUCUUUAGUACCUCUAAAGUUCACAGGGUUUUCAAAAUUCCGGCCCUCGGAACAGAAACUAGUCAUUUUGGAUUGUUGGUCAUAGUGACAUUGACCCAGAUUACUACUGCAAGCCAGGUUUGUUGACAAUUUUACUUAUCUUUCUUACUCAUUCGAUAUAAUAUCCAAUUAUUCACGUCGAUUAGUUGGAAACAAUAAGUGCUAGACAAACUUCUUCAUUCAGAUUUUGGACGGUCUCUUACUGCAGUUACAAUUCUGCAUACUUGUCCUAAUAAGCUCACAAGUAAAUGAUUGAUUCACUACAUCUAUGCUUGCCUUGUCAUAUUUGUUGUCAAUAUUCUUUUAGGGUGGACCACCUUGUUUCUAAAUACUGGAACCGUAGACCUGAGUGAAUAGUAUUUCUCUAUGUGAUCUCUUCCAUCAUGUGUGGGUAACGAAUACUGCAUUGUAUAGAAAGCAAGUGUCAUUUCCAGCUUUUACAUAGGUUUCGAUCUUUUACAUGGAAUACAAUCUGCCUACUUGCUUUGUGUCGCACUACCAACACUCCACCCUUGAAGCUAAACAUUACGCCACUCAUAAUUGCUUAGUUUAUUUGUUCAAAUACAAAUUUCAUAUGAUUCUAAUGUUCCUACUUUAGUUUUGAAAUGUGUGCCUGCCUGUUAUAGAGACAUAAGGUGUUUGUAUUUCUGUGUGUGGUCUGGUCAGCACGGUUGGGGAGGUGAACUUUGCAUAUGCAGGGGUUUAUAGGGAGACACUUUCCGAGUUGAAUCCGCAAUGCAUUCCAUAGAUAAUCUGACUACUUUUUAUGUUUUCAUGAAUCUCAGAUUCUGAGCAGCAUCAUAAUGAUUAUGAGCUUGCGCGCAUGAAAAGAAUAAAGCAGAACAAUGCCAUGGCUGUCAAACUUGGCAUUAAGGGACUGAACUCAAGUCUGGAUGCAAUGCAAUGCAAACGCUCUCCACCUACAGAUUCAUGCUCAGAAUAUGAUCCUAACAGUGAUUCUGAGCUAGAGGGAGACCUAAGUCAAUGUAGCUCCCUAGUGGAGGAGUCAGAGAAAGAUGCCCUAUCUUACUCACCCAUCAAGGUACUUGCUCUAACUUUCCAAGGUUACAUUGCUCGCACAUAUCUUGCAACUGAUGUUUUGCAUUGCUUCUACUUUGUUGAACUGCCAUUAGCUUAGUUUACACAUUGUGUAUGUGAAUAUGCCCUGCCUAUACAUUUUCAGUACAUAUUCCGUCUGUCAUCAUACUAUAUUUAUCCAUUCAAAUGUUGUUCUUGUGUAUCAGACGUUCAAAAGGAAGAGGGUGAUUACUGAUCAUGGAGGAGCACAAGCAAAGUAUUUGGAAAAGGUAGUGGCACCUGAUAAAUCAAAUAGCCCAUUAGGUGUAGUUGCAAUAUCACCUGACCCACAAAAUACCCCAACUCUAGCAGACUCUAGCCCUACUACACUGGUCAUUUCUGAUGCCCCAACUCAGCAGACCCCAACUGCAGCAAACAGUAUGAUUAUGCCAGUUGACAUAACACCAGCUGUACGAUGCAAAACCCCCAUUCCAGCAAAGAGUACACCAAAUCCAGUUGCCAAAUCCCUUUUCGAACCAGAGAGAGCCCCAAUUGUAGCAAAUAGGACCCCUGUUCCAUUUCUUCCCAGUUUAGAAGACGAAGCUUAUGUUGUUGUCAGGAACUUUGUGCGCAUCUUUCCUUCAUGGAAAGAUUAUACCGCAGACAUGGAACAAUUUCCAGUCUUCCUCCGCAACUUACGCGUAAGUAAUGUACUAAUGUUAUUCAUGGUCAUUACUGCAUAUGUUUCUGCUGACAGAAACACAAGAUUUCAUUCUUUUAAAUAGGCGAGGAGCAAACUAGAUUGUGAUGACGAGCAAGAGUUGGUUGCGCUUUUCAAGCACUCGUUGAUGAAAUAUCAUUCCUACCUGAGGCAAGCGCACUUCGAUGGUAAGCCUCUGAACGAAAUUUUUGUAAAGUCUCCGGUGCUACAUUUAUCCGACGGUGACUGGAAUAGUCUUGUUACACAUUGGUCUCGGCUGCGGCGUAAGGUACUGUCUAUGAUAUCACAUCACAAUUUGAACUACAUUUCUGCAUUUGCCUUAAUGUCUCACUUGUACGAAAACUGUUAGCAGAAGAACAUUCGUUCUCAAGGGACCACAGAAUCUCGCAACUAUACUGCAUACUGCAUUGCUCUUGUGAGUACCUCUUGCCCUGUAUGACCAUACUUACUUUCAUAGCUGUUUGAUUAUGUAGCAUCACUGCACAUGUUAGCCUCGUAAUCGCCCAUUUGGUGGACAUUAUAAGAUCUGUAUGGACUCUUACACAAAUUUAGAAUCAACCCAAUGCUUUUGAAGAGGUUUAGCUCUGCAGUCCUCUUGUAAGGACUGAACGUGGUCUAUCACUGUACUUACAUUAACAGCUACUCCCUCCGUCCCAUAAUAUAAGAAUGUUUUGUACAGUACACCAGUGUUCAAAACACUCUUGUAUUAUGGGAAGAGGGAUUGGUUCAUUUUGUAGCAUUCUGCAUCUUAUCUCCCUCGCCCACUGUAACGCCCCGGAUUCGUUGCGCCAGGUGUCUGCCAGUUAUUCGCCAUUGUUGCCAUGUCAUUUGUUUGCAUGUUGCAUUUUGUCAUGUCAUCAUGUGCAUUGCAUUGCAUACGUGUUCGUCUCAUGCAUCCGAGCAUUUUCCCCAUUGUCCGUUUUGCAAUCCGGCACUCCUAUGUCCUCUGGCGUCCCCCUUUUGUCUCCUGUUGUGAGCGGGUGUUAAACUUUCUCGGAAUGGCCCGAGGUUUGCCAAGCGGACUUGGUAUAGCACCGGUAGACCGCCUGUCAAGUUUCGUGCCAUUUGGAGUCCGUUUGAUACUCCAACGGUUAACCGAGUUAGCCUGAAACCCCUUCUUUGUGUUGCAGCCCAACACCCCUCCAAAGUGGCACAAAACCCAUCCAAACCCCCUCCAUGCUCUCCGCCGUUCGAUCACGAUCACGUGGCCGAAAACCGCUCCUUAUUUGGACACUCCUAGCUCCCUCUAUCUAUAAAUAUGCCCUUCCCCCGAAAAUUCCCGGUCCAAACCCUAGAUUUUCUCCUCUCGCCCGCCGGACAUGUCCGUCCCGGACCGGACGAAAUCGCGCCGCCACCCGCAGCCACUCCCGUGCCGCCACCUGGCCUCCGACCUCCUCCGCGCUGCCGCGGCCCGCUGGGCCCAGGCACGGCCCGCCAAGGCCCGCACGGCCGCCCGAGNNNNNNNNNNNNNNNNNNNNNNNNNNNNNNNNNNNNNNNNNNNNNNNNNNNNNNNNNNNNNNNNNNNNNNNNNNNNNNNNNNNNNNNNNNNNNNNNNNNNNNNNNNNNNNNNNNNNNNNNNNNNNNNNNNNNNNNNNNNNNNNNNNNNNNNNNNNNNNNNNNNNNNNNNNNNNNNNNNNNNNNNNNNNNNNNNNNNNNNNNNNNNNNNNNNNNNNNNNNNNNNNNNNNNNNNNNNNNNNNNNNNNNNNNNNNNNNNNNNNNNNNNNNNNNNNNNNNNNNNNNNNNNNNNNNNNNNNNNNNNNNNNNNNNNNNNNNNNNNNNNNNNNNNNNNNNNNNNNNNNNNNNNNNNNNNNNNNNNNNNNNNNNNNNNNNNNNNNNNNNNNNNNNNNNNNNNNNNNNNNNNNNNNNNNNNNNNNNNCCGCCCGCGCCCGGCCCCGCGUCGCCUUCGCCGGAGCUCGGCCGGAUCCGGCGAGAUCCGGCCGGAUCCGCCUCGUCCCGCCCCUGCAAGACCUCGCCGGCCCCGUCUCCCUCCUCUCCGGUGUCUUCUCCGGCGAGCUUGCGCCGCCACCUCGAAAACCAUGCUAGAUCCAGAUCCACGAAGGUUGACCUCCAGAUUUCCGUGCUAUACGAUGUUAAUCUGCGGAAACUGUUAUAACUUGGUGAUUUGUCAUUUUUGUUGCAUUUGAUGUAUGCAUCCUAUGAGCAUGAGUUGUACAUGUGUUUUGUACUACAUCAUGCCAUAUUCACAUAGGUGCAAUCCAUGUAUUUUUGUGAGUCUUGUACUGAGUGCAUCGAGCUUGUUAAGUAGGGUACUUGCUGUUACUGUUUUGCUAGGUUGAAUCUGUUAUUUCGUGAUGCUAUGUAAACCUGCUGCUACAAGUCAUUCUAUGCAUAAUCUGGAGAUGUUCACUGAGGAUGUUUUGUUAUACAUAUCAUGCUCUAUCCAUCCAUGCCCCUGGUUGCAUUUAUAGCCUGUUGUAGCUUGCUGUAAGCUUGCUCCAAACUUGCUAAAUAAUGUUGUUGUCAGCCUGUUAACAUGAAGUUCAGUUUUGCCAUGUGAUUUGCUAGUGAUCCAUGUACCCUAUGAACUUGUUCUUGCCAUGCUUAGCUUCAUAAACAUGUGUUCUUACUGUUGGUUACCUUGUCAUACCAUGUAAUUCUCUGUGGUGAGUGGUACAAGCUCACCAACAUGCCUACUUAUAGUUGUUUCUGCCAUGCCCUGUUUGCUGAAUCUGUUAACGAAACUUGAUAUGUUUACAUGGGUGCCAUCAUAUCUUCUGAUACUUUUUGGCUCAUGGUCAGUAAGGGACUUUUGUUCUAUGCGUUUAGUAGAUUCAUUCCAUGUCUUUUUUUGCCAUGAUAAGUUCCUGUAGCAUGUUGUUUGAUAGCUCUAAACAUUGCAACCUGAUGUUAUUUCUGCUAAGCCUGUAAACUGUUGUUAUUUGCAAUCUUGCCAUGUGUGUUUGAGCAUGUUCUAGUGAUUUCUGGAGAUAGCUCAGUGUUCAUGUUUUGUAAUGCUUUACCUGUACAUCAUGUCCAUGCCUCUUGUUCUCAUGUUGGGGUCCUGUAGCAUGUUGUUUUGAUGCUUGCAAUAUGCCUAGUUGUUGUUUUGGACAGCUUGUCCUUUAAACUUGUAUAGAGUGUGUGUUGAACCGUUGCUCCGUUUUGAGUGUGCUCUAUAUGAAACUUGCUUAGAAUUGCAUGUAGUUUCAUGUUACCUUGUUGCAUCCAUGUUUUGAGAGUGUUUGCUUGAUGUUUGUAUGCAUUUUGCAUCAAUGCCAUGUUUGACUUGUUUUGCUCAUAUCUUCUAGGUCGUAGCUCCGAAUUAAACGAACUUUAUAUGUAACUUGACUAGAAUUUCGUGUAGAUCAUCUUGGUGCAUUUUAACUUGCGGUUUAAGAACUUGAACAUAAGGUUUAUUCAGAUCUGGACCAACUUCGAAAUUUGCAUAUGAGGACUUACCGGAAUUGUUAUAUGUUGUUUCCGGCCUCAUUUAAACUUGCCUUGAUGUGUUGCUCUUGUAUGCAUCCUCUCUUGCCAUGAGUAGCUUCAUGUAGCUUUGUCAUGCAUCAUACUUGGUUGAGCAUCAUGUCUUGUAUAUGUGUGAUGUGUUUACCUUGUUGUGUGCUUCUCUCGAUAGUUCCCGUUUCGUUGCGAUCAUGAGGAUUCGUUCGUCUACGCUUGGUUCGCCUUCAUGGCUUCAUCUUCUUCAUGGAUUUAUUCUUCUUCCUAGCGGGAUUUCAGGCAAGAUCGCCGCUAUCCUGGAUCUCACUACUAUCUUUGCUAUGCUAGUUGCUUCGUUCUAUCGCUAUGAUGCGCUACCUAUCUUUUGCUCUUCAAGCCUCCCAAUUGCCAUGUCAGCCUCUAACCUUUUCACCCUUCCUAGCAAACCGUUGCUUGGCUAUGUUACCGCUUUUGCUCAGCCCCUCUUAUAGCGUUGUUAGUUGCAGGUGAAGUUGAAGAUUGCCCCAUGGUGGACAGGAUUAUGUUGGGAUAUCACAAUAUCUCUUAUUUAAUUAAUGCAUCUAUAUACUUGGUAAAGGGUGGGAGACUCGGCCUUAUGUCUGGUGUUUUGUUCCACUCUUGCCGCCCUAGUUUCCGUCAUACCGGUGUUAUGUUCCCGGAUUUUGCGUUCCUUACGCGGUUGGGUGAUUUAUGAGACCCCCUUGACAGUUCGCUUUGAAUAAAACUCCUCCAACAAGGCCCAACAUUGGUUUUACCAUUUGCCUCACCUAGCCCUUUUUCCCUUGGGUUUCCAGAGCCCGAGGGUCAUCUUUAUUUACCACCACCACCCCCCCCCCCCCGGGGCCAGUGCUCCUCCGAGUGUUGGUCCAAACUAGAGCAUCGUGCGGGACCAUUCCUUGGCAACUUGGAUUACGUCGGUUCCUGUACGCUUCGCUUAUCCGGUGUGCCGUAAGAACGAGAUAUGUGCAGCUCCUAUCGGGAUUUGUCGGCACAUCGGGCGGCUUUGCUGGUCUUGUUUUACCAUUGUCGAAAUGUCUUGUAAACCGGGAUUCCGAGUCUGAUCGGGUCUUCCUGGGAGAAGGUAUAUCAUUCGUUGAUCGCGAGAGCUUAUCAUGGGCUAAGUUGGGACACCCCUAGAGGGUAUAAACUUUCGAAAGCCGUGCCCGCGGUUAUGCGGCAGAUGGGAAUUUGUUAAUGUCCGGUUGUAGAUAACUUGACACCAGAUCCGAAUUAAAACGCAUCAACCGUGUGUGUAGCCAUGAUGGUCUCUUUUCGGCGGAGUCCGGGAAGUGAACACGGUUUUGGGUUAUGUUUGACAUAAGUAGGAGUUCAGGAUCACUUCUUGAUCAUUGCUAGCUUCACGACCGUUCUGCUUGCUCUCUUCUCGCUCUUAUUUGUGUAUGUUAGCCACCAUAUAUGCUUAGUUGCUGUUGCAACCUCACCACUUUACCCCUUCCUUACCCUUUAAGCUUUGCUAGUCUUGAUACCCAUGGUAAUGGGAUUGCUGAGUCCCCGUGGCUCAUAGAUUACUACAACAACAGUUGCAGGUACAGCUUAUGCGAUGAUCAUGACGCGAGAGCGAUGUUUACUUGUUUUGGAGUUCUUCUUAUGCUUCUUCUUUGAUCAGGGGAUAGGUUCCAGGUCGGCAGCCUGGGCUAGCAGGGUGGAUGUCGUUUGAGUUUCUGUCUGUGUUUCAUCCGUAGUCGGAUGAUGCUCUAAUGUAUUGUGAUGUUGUAUUCGUGUGGCAUUCUAUGCCUCUUGUAUGUAUCCCCAUCUAUUAUGUAAUGUUGAUGUAAUGAUAUCCACCUUGCAAAAGCGUUUCAAUAUGCGGUUCUAUCCUUGGUGGGACCUUCGAGUCUCUUUAGGAUAGUAUCGCAUAUUGGGCGUGACACCCACCAUUUUACUAAAAAAGAUCAGAUCUAUAUUUAGUCUUACCAACAAGUAGAAUACACAGACAAUGCCAGUGCAGAAGUGUAGCCCAUUGCUCUUGUCAGUAUAUUUUGUCCUGUAACGCUUGUACUUCGAGGGAUUGGUAGUUGAUUAUGUAGCAUCAAUCUGCAUCUUAUCUUCAUUAUCCUCUAUCCCUUCCAGUAUUAUCAUAUCUAUAAUUACUCUCUACAAAAUGUAGAGUACAGGCAAUGCUUAUGAAGAAGAUUUUGUGCUGAAAUUCUUGAGUUAUCCUUCCCUUGACAUGGAGAAGGGCAUUAUAAAGCCGGUGUUAACUGUUAAUGUAAGUUAGUCCUUCUAAAGCCUUUAUCCUCAACUGUUGUUUAAUUUUCUCAUACUCCCUAUCGUUUACUACUGUUUAGUUUGUUGUUUCUACCAAAAUGCAUGUUCGUAAGAACCGUAAGUUCUAAGUUUUACUUGUAAAACCAAAUUUCUUAUUCAUACCAUGCACAUUACGUAAUAGUCCCUAUAUGUAUGCUUGGUUUUGUGGAUCUAUAAUCCAGUGUGUGGUGAAGCAGCCCUCGUUUGCACCUUGUCAUCUCCUGUUUUAUCUUACUGAUGUGGCUGAUGAUAUGAACAACAUGCCAUGCACAUUAUCCAAAAUAGAUACAAUGAUUUUCUUUGCCCUUCAUCUAUGCUUGUUAUGUUGACAUGGUAAUCCGGUAGUGUGGUGAAGCUCCCCACAUUAUGAACAAUGCCAAAUUACGCUAUUGAUAUUUUGAACUUACUCUUUAUUUUCUAAUUUGAAAUUGGAUAGAAUUGACAGAACAGUUAUCAUCUUUGUUUAUACACGUGCAAAACCUGUCAUCUCUCUGCUUUGUUUCAGGGUGAUAUGCCUGAUGGCAUGCACAAGUCUGCUGAAGGCUGUGAGACAAACCCAACAUAUAUUGCAACAAAAAAGGCAAAACAUCUUGAAGAUAGCGAGACAACCCCAAAGUCUUGUCCUGAUGCAGUGUUCAAGUUACUUGAGACUAACAGUCAGACAAGCUCACAGAAUUCGUUGUCUGAAUCAGUUUGACUUCUUCAGUCCCAAGUUCUAGCAGAAAGGCAUUCUGCAACUCAACUUCGACUUGAAGUCCUAUCUCUAAGAAAGAUUGCAGAGAACAUCAAUGAGAACCUCAUCGCUAAACAGCUACACCUAGAAGCUAUGACCGACAUGCUAGGCCGGUCUCACAGCCUUGCUCAGCAGCUUGCGCAGCAGUUCCCCCGCAAGGCUAACCUUUCUUGAACUGUCUUGGAAGUGGUCUCGGUUCAGUAUUAUUUUGUUACGCUGCAAUGGUGCCCACUUUUUGUAAUUUGCUUCUUCGUUGCGCUUUAUGAUCACUGGUGGCGAACUUUGAUGCCCAGUAGAUGUAAUAUACCUUAAAUCCUUUAUUGUAUAGUGUAGGUUUAUUCUUAGUUACUAUGCUGUAAUUUCUUUAUUGUGUAGAGUAGGUUUGUUCUUAAUUCCUACUAGUUACUGCCAUCAUUCGCUAUUUGAAAAAAAAUCAGAUGUAGUCGACCGGGCCGAAACAUUCGAUAAUGGGCCAGGUUUUUAGCGGGCCACAAUUCGGCCGGACUGCGUCUUUCUUGGGCCCGAAUGAUUGGGGCCUUCACACAUUGCGCCAGGCCCAAACUUACACCAGCCUAUAUUUUAGUUGGGCCUUUUGUCGAACCAGCGCUUAGUUCGGCCCAGGUAGCGUUGGGCCAUUAACAGGCUGAAUAUUGUACUGGCCUGUUACGGCCGAGAUGAAACCACGGGCCUUUAGCUGGCCAAAAUGCAUGUUGGGCCUCAAUUUUCACUAGUCGUCGACGGGCCUUCAGCAGGCCGAAAUGUAGACUGGGCCGUUAUGGGCCCAGUUAGCUCACGGGCCAUUACCAGGCUAAAACAUAUCUUGGGCCUUAGUUGGCCCACUGAUAUCAUGGGCCUUUAAGAGGCCGAAAGCUUAGUACAGGCAUCAACGGGCUGAAUUACGCGACAGGCCUUUAACAGGCCCAAAGUCACGUUGGGCUUAACUGUUGCCACCUUUAGCACGGGCCGUUAGUGGGCCCGAUAUCCCAUCGGACCAUAUAUGGCCCAUGGGCAGCACGGGCCAUUCCCAGGCCGAAAGUCACACCGGGCUGAAAUGGGCCCAUGUCUACAUCAGGCCUCUAACAGGCCGAAAGUCACUGGGCUGUAUUUGGGCCCGAAUAUUCGGCGAACAAUUAACGGGCCAGAUCUGGCUUCGGGCCGCAAAUGGGCCCAAAUAUUGGGCAAACAAUUAACGGGCCAGAUCUGGCUUCGGGCUGUAAAUGGGCCCAAAUAUUGGGCGAACAAUUAACGGGCCAGAUCUGGUUUCGGGUUGUAAAUGGGCCUUUAUUAAGCAGGUCGUUAUUGGGCUGGCCCACUAGUACCUGAUUAAGUUCUACAGGGCCUUUGACUGGGCCGGCCUUUUUAACCUAUAUGGGCCUCUAUUGGGCCCAGCCACGUGUCAAUGUACCAUAGGCAUGUCUCCUCCAAUGGACGGGCGACAUUUGGCCCACUGACGAGCUGACAGGUGUUCCCUUCGGCCAAUCAGAAUUUACACGUGGAAACUUCCCAUUGGUCGGGGCUGUUAACGGGUUAUCGGAUCCAAAACCCGACCCGAUAGCUUAACGGUGUUCCGUUACGGUGGAUGCCACGUGUCGGUCACCCUUGACGAAAGCACUUCUGUGACACGCGAUUUAUCGUCAUGGAAGUGGACACUUCCGUGAUGAUAAUUUUGGUAAUGUCAUGGAACACUUCUACGACAGCACAGGUAUGACUAUCUUGAUUCUGUCAUAAAUUUUUCAUGGAUGUACAUGCAUGACAAAAAACGCGCCCUACUGUGACAAACACGUAUCAUCACGAAAGUGUAUUUUUUUGUAGUGUUGCUUGGUGAUGAGUGCAUGUGUUCAAUUAUUAUCAUUUAGAGCGCUCCACCAAGAUGUAUGUGACAUGGAAGAGUGACCCAUGAUCCUAACACAUUGUGCAUUUGCAGUCCAAAGCAAAUUUUAAAUAAUGCACAAAUUUAGGGGGAGCUCUUGCUUAUCACAUACUUCUCAAAGCGACGAUGUUUUUCAAUCUUAUUAUCAUUUGUUGAAGCUUUGAUCUAUAUGUUGUCAUCGAUUACUAAAAAGGGGGAGAUUGAAAGUGCAGCUAUCCCUGGGUGGUUUUGGUAAUUCCUAACAACAUAUAGCUCAUUGAGCUAAUGUUAUUUCAAGAUAAAUAUUUCAGGAAAGCUCAAUGAUUGGCAUGGCAUGGGUGAGAAAAGUGGAUCCCUCAAAAUGCUAAGGACAAAAGGAUUGGCUCAAGCUCAAAACACAAGACUCUACAUUUUCUAUUUUAGUGAUCCAAGAUCACAUUGAGUCUAUAGGAAAAGUCAAUACUAUCAAGGAGGGAUGAGGUGUUGCUUAAUGAGUUUCUUGCUCAAAAUGCUCAGUGAUAUGCUCCAAAUCCCUCAACUACUUUCUCACAUCCACAUAUGUCCCAAACCAAAAGUCAAACUCGGCCCCACCGAAACUGUCUAUCUGACGCCACCGAGUUCUGUUGACAUAGCCACAGCCACAAACCCUAGUCUUUUCGGUCUCACUGAUAGGGAUCUCGGUCUCACCGAGAUGGGAUUGUAAUCUCUCUGUUUCCCUUCAUAAUGUUUCGGUCAAACCGAGAUGAGCGAUUGGUCCCAUCGAGAUUGCAAUGGAAACUCACUGUUUCCCUUUCGUAACGUUUCGGUCCAACCGAGAUGAGCGAAUGGGUCCCACCGAGUUUGCCUGACCAACCCUCUGUGUGUCUAUUACCAAAAUCGGUCUCACCGAGUUUGUGUAAUCGGUCUCACCGAGAUUACGUUAUGCCCUAACCCUAACCAUAUCGGUCCCACCGAGUUGACAUGUCGGUCCCACCGAAAAUCCUAACGGUCACAUUAUUUACUAAAUCGGUCCGACCAAGUUUCAUGAUUCGGUCCCACCGAGUUUGGUAAGUUGUGUGUAACGGUUAGAUUUUGUGUGGAGGCUAUAUAUACCCCUCCACCCACUCUUCAUUCAUGGAGCGAGCCAUCAGAACAUGCCUACACUUCCAGCAUUCAUUUUCUGAGAGAGAACCACCUACUCAUGUGUUGAGGUCAAGAUAUUCCAUUCCUACCACAUAAAUUUUGAUCUCUAGCCUUCCCCAAGUUGCUUUCCACUCAAAUCUUCUUUCCACCAAAUCCAAAUCCUGUGAGAGAGAGUUCAGUGUUGGGGAGACUAUCAUUUGAAGCACAAGAGCAAGGAGUUCAUCAUCAACACACCAUUUGUUACUUCUUGGAGAGUGGUGUCUCCUAGAUUGGCUAGGUGUCACUUGGGAGCCUCCGACAAGAUUGUGGAGUUGAACCAAGGAGUUUGUAAGGGCAAGGAGAUCGCCUACUUCGUGAAGAUCUACCCUAGUGAGGUAAAUCCUCCGUGGGCGACGACCAUGGUGGGAUAGACAAGGUUGCUUCUUCGUGGACCCUUCGUGGGUGGAGCCCUUCGUGGACUCGCGCAACCGUUACCCUUCGUGGGUUGAAGUCUCCAUCAACGUGGAUGUAUGAUAGCUCCACCUAUCGGAACCAUGGCUAAAAAAUUUCUGUGUCAACAUUGCAUUUGCCUCCUCAAACUCCUUCCUUUACCUUCAUAUGCAAUUAUUUUACAUUCUGCUGCUAUACUCUUAGAAUUGCAUGUGUAGGUUGAUUGCUUGACUUGUGCUAAGUUGCUAAAAUCUGCCAAGAACUUAAAUUGGGAAAAGGCUAGAUUUUUAUUUGGUCAAGUAGUCUAAUCCCCCCCCCCUCUAGACAUACUUUCGGUCCUACAUGGGACCCACUAGCUACAUCUUCGCACACAAGGAAGUGCCUGACAGUCGGGACCCACCUGGUCGAAGCAUACGUAGCGUUGUCAUUCUGGUCGCGAACGUGUAUGUACAUACUAGUCGAUGUAGAGGCGCGCACGUGUCAUAGUAGAGGCACACACAUAGCAUGUACACGUACGUACAGCGGCCAGGGUGCAAGAAAUAAAAUACGGCCAUGUACGUACAUAUGGGAGGGGUCUCGAACGCCUACUCACGCAUACGUACGACCAGGGCUCGUGUACAUGGCUGGGUCGGAACGGAGAAACUGCAUCGUCGUCGUGUUCAUGGGGAGCCAACCGGCUCGGUCAGAAUGGAAUGAGUCGUCGUGUUAAUCGGGAGGGCUUGGAUGGAACAGCCGAUGGAAAUGAGGCCUGGCGUAUCGCAGAACGCAGGAAACGGCCUUGUGUUCGACCGGCCACGGUCGAAAUGGGAUCCUGUUCAUCGGGAGGGGUCUAGCAUACCGCAAAACGGAGGAAACGGACUUCUGUUGGACCUCCUACGGUCGAAACAGGGUCCUGAUGAUCGGGAGGGGUAUGGCGUACCGCAAAAUGAAGGAAACGGACUUGUGUUGGAGCGCUACGGUCGAAACGAGGGUCAUGUUCAUCGGGAGGGGUAUGGCGUACCGCAAUACGGGACUCCAUGGGAUACUGUUCAUCUCCACCGUCGACCUCCUCCAACCUCCACGGGCUACUGUUCAUCCACCGUCGACCUCCUCCAGCCUCCACCUACGACUGUUCAUCCACGGGCUCCUGUUCAUCCAGCCUCCACCACGCGCUCCUCCAUCGGCUACUGUUAAACCAGCCCUCUCCACAGGGUCUUGUUCAACCACCCCUCCACAGGCUACUGUUCAUCCAGCUCACCACCGGCUACUCUUCAACUAGCCCUCCACCGGCUACUGUUCAACCUUUCCUCCACGGGGUCUUGUUCAUCCAGCCCUCCACGGGGUCCUGUUCAUCCACGCCCAACUGGCUCGAUCGAUCGGGGUCCUGUUCAUCCAGCGGCAACACCACGGGGUCUUGUUCAUCCAACCCCCCACCGGGAACUGUUCAUCCAACCCCCCAACAACGCUCAUUGUUCAUCAAGGGAAGCGAGGCAGCAGGUUCAAUCGGCUUCAGUUAGCAGCAGUAGCAAACGAAGGAAUCGCUCGAUCGGGUUCAGUAACGCGUAGCCUGCAAUGCAAUCGCUCGGGUUCAGUAGGCGAACGCCUCGCUCGGGUUCAGUUAAAGCCCAACGCCUUGCACCCACGUGCAUACAUGUAUGAGAGAAACGCGCAUCGCUCGGCCCCCGACCACCCACCGUAACUGGGAACUCCCCGAUAUUUUCCUCGCCCUCGCUUCUACCAUGGUUUUUUCCGUCAUGCACAGCCCAAAGAAUGUCAUGCAGCUGCGUCUCUGGCCCGCCCAGGACGAAAAGCCCUGUCAUGAUUUUUUGUCAUAGAAGUAGGAUCCCACCACAUCUAUGAUGAUACCGGGUUUUGUCACAAUUAUCGUCAUAGAAGUGUCAUAAGUAUGACAGAAAAAAAUUCGUCCGGCCCAAAAUGUCAUGGAUGUGUCUUUUCUUUAGUGAAUUCCUCCGCUUUAAAAUACUUGAAGAAGUUUAUCAUGGGGCAAAUAUCUUUAGGCUUGGCCAAGUCUAUAGAAAAAUAUGUUGACAUAUACAACAUCAACUAUGUAUAGUAUGAAAACAUAUGUUAUAAUGAAUCUAACUAAACCAAUAUGAUGUUGUUGAUGUUGUUAUAUUUUUUCUAUAGACUUGGUUAAACUUAAAUAUGUUUGACUUACAAACUUAGAGCAACCCUAGCAGAUGCGCCAACCGCUCAUAUGACAUCCAAGACCCAAAAGAAGGGUCAUGUCGACAACAUAGUCACCUUCACAACAAGACAAGCAUCUUCAUCAUUAUGUGGAAGCAACAAAGAUGGCGAUAAAAAUGAACAUGGUCACCCUCAACAGCAUAGUCAACUACAAUUGAAGCUAAAAACAUCCAUCCAACCAUUUUGCACACUAAUCAAUAUUAGGUUUGACUUGACUUGCGGUUGGCGUUCUUGCAGCCAUAUUUUGGUUUCAAGCUAAACAAAUGGCUCUUUGGGCUAUGGUGAAAACUACUUGCUCUGGAAGCUAAUAAAACAAAAUUGGAAGUUGAUUUGUUUACAACUACAAGAAGUGAUACAACAACUUGCCCAGGAUGCUACUAUGAGAGAACAAUUUGAUUUGGAAAUUGGUAAAAGGAGAAAGACGAGGAAUUUAGAAACUACUUAUAGCUUAUUGGUUAUAAUGGAAGUCAGGAAACCAUUGAGAACUUUGGAGAACAAAUGGCUAAAAUUUAUGGAGUGGCUUUGGAUGCUAGUGAUGGUGGGGACAUGGAAGAUGCUCUUAGAAGAUGCCCUAGAUUGAAAUGCAAAGAAGAUUUCAGGGUGGAAGAUUUAGCAAAAAAACAGAGUUGAAGCUAGAGGUAAUUACAGUAUGGAUGUUGAUUUGUCUUCUCCUAAUGCCUCCUUACUUCACAUGACUGCUUUGGUGGAUAUUGAAUUGGGAUGUUCUAUUAAGAUGGUUGAUAAGAACCUUGACAUGAUUAAAAACGCAACAUGCUAGGAAAUAUAUAUUUUUCUCAUGCAAAACAUUAUUAAUAACUAACAAUACUAGUAAAACAGAAAUCGCUAGCUCACCUUGUCCAAUUAACAUUGGUGGUGCUGCUCUGAUGAGUUAUGUUCUAAUAAUGAUCAUUCUGAUGUUGAGAUGGAAGAAUACUACUAUGGGCAAAUAAAAAAUAUUUUCUACAUUGGGAAAAUGAAGAGAGAUAGCUCCCAAAAAUAGGUUGUCUGAAGCACUUUGAUUCCAUUGAAGGGCUGAAAAAAUCCUAAAUUAAAAGAUAAUCUGGUUAAUUUGUUUAGGAAUGGAAGGAGUUUUUUGGAGUGUGAGAGGUUUGGGGCAAGAUCUCAAACAAGAGACAUGUUAGGGAAUGAUCAUAGAUUAUAUAUUAGAUUUUAUUGGCCUGUUGGAAGCCAUAAAACAAAAUUACGCGAAAAGUGAGCAUUCCCUUAUGGGGGGCUUUGAAUCGCACUAAAAUCACCCUAGGGGAAGGUUUGGUGGGAUUUUAGUUGGCACUAAUAAAUAUAUGUUUGAUCUGAAGGAAAUAUGCCCUAAAGGCAAUAAUAAAGUUCUUAUUUUAUAUUUCCUUAUUCAUGAUAAAGGUUUAUUAUUCAUGUUAGAAUUGUAUUGAUCGGAAACCUUAAUACAUGCAUGAAUACAUAAACAAACAGUGUGUCCCUAGUGAGCCUCUACUAGACUAGCUCGUUGAUCAAAGAUGGUUAAGGUUUCCUAACCAUGGACAUGAGUUGUCAUUUGAUAACGGGAUCACAUCAUUAGGAGGAGGAUGUGAUGGACAAGACCCAUCCGUUAGCUUAGCAUAAUGAUCAUUCAGUUUUAUUGCUAUUGUUUUCUUCAUGUCAAAUACAUUUCCUUCGACUAUGAGAUUAUGCAACUCCUAGAUACCAGAGGAAUGCCUUGUGUGCUAUCAAACGUCACAACGUAACUGGGUGAUUAUAAAGAUGCUCUACAGGUAUCUCAAGGUGUUUGUUGAGUUGGCAUAGAUUGAGAUUAGGAUUUGUCAAUCCGAGUAUCGGAGAGGUAUCUCUGGGCCUCUCGGUAAUACACAUCAUAAGCUUGCAAGCAAACGACUAAGGAGUUAGUCACGAGGUGAUGUAUUACGGAAUGAGUAAAAAGAGACUUGCCGGUAACGAGAUUGAACUAGGUAUGAAGAUACCGACGAUCGAAUCUCGGGCAAGUAACAUACCGAUGGACAAAGGGAAUUACGUAUGUUGUCAUAACAGUUCGACCGAUAAAGAUCUUCCAAUAUGUAGGAGCCAAUAUGGGCAUCCAGGUUCCGCUAUUCGUUAUUGACCAGAGAGGUUUCUAGGUCAUGUGUACAUAUUUCUCGAACCUGUAGGGUCCGCACGCUCAACGCUCGAUGACGAUAUAGUAUUAUAUGAGUUAUGUGAUUUGGUGACCGAAUGUUGUUCAGAGUCCCGAAUGAGAUCACGGACAUGAUGGGGAGUCUCGAAUGGUUGAGAUGUAAAGAUUGAUAUAUAGGACGAUGAUAUUCGGACACCGGAAGUGUUUCGGGGGUACCGGGUACUUAUCGGGUCACCGGAAGGGGUUCUGGGCACCCCCGGCAAAAGAUAUUGGCCUUAUGGGCCAAGAGGGGAAACACACUAGCCACAAGGGGCUGGUGCGCCCCCCAUAUGGGUCGGCCUAAGGAGGAGAAGGAAACGGGAGAAGUGAAAGGAAACAGUGGAAUAGAAUUGCCCCUUCCUUCCCUCCCCUCCCCCCUCUUUCCCUCCCCCUUUGACAAAUAUGGCAGGAGGGGCGCGGCCAAGGGCAGGAGCCCAAGUAGGAUUCAGACCUACUUGGGGCGCCCCUUGGCCUCUCCCCUCUCCCUCCCACCUAUAUAUAUGAGGAGGGGGGCGCCUAGCACACCUCGAACAAUUGCCUAGCCGUGUGCGGCGCCCCCCCCCCCUCCACCGUUUACACCCCCGGUCAUAUUUUCAUAGUGCUUAGGCGAAGCCCUGCGGAGAUCACUUCACCAUCACCAUCACCGUGCCAUCGUGCUGACGGAACUCAUCUACUACCUCGACGUCUUGCUAGAUCAAUAAGGCGGGGGACGUCACCGAGCUAAACCUGUGCAGAACACGGAGGUGUCAUGCGUUCGGUUGAUCGAUUGAAGCGCGAAGAAGUUCGACUACAUCAACCGCGUUGUGAAACGCUUCAGCUUACGGUGUACGAGGGUACGUAGACACACUCUCCCCCUCGUUGUUAUGCAUCUCCAUGGAUAGAUCAUUGCGUGUGCGUAGAAUUUUUUUUGUUUCCAUGCAACGAUUCCCAACAUGAUCUAAUUCAGGUUGAGAGUGGAAAAUACUUUAUUACAAUUCUGUUAUUUAAUAAACUUGCCAAAUUCAAUUGAAAUCUUAUUACUAUAUAUGUGGAUGGCCAAUUGGCAGGGAAAGCUAGUUUCUUGGCUGAACUAGCUAGAGUUUAUCAUGAUAAUCCCAUAGCAUGUUUGGUGGGUGGUGAUUUUAACAUAAUUAGAAAAGGUUGUGAAAAAAAUCCAGUGAUACUGAUCACUAGAGUUUUGUGUUCAAUGCAAUUAUUGAGCAUGCUGGUUUGAGAGUGAUGUCUUUAAAUGUGAGAAAUUUCAUUUGGGCAAAUAAUUUGGAGGAUCCUACUUUUGAAAACUAUAUGGAGUCCUUUUGUGCAUUGAAUGGGAGUAACAUUAUCCUUUAUCUAUGUUGCAGGCAUUUGCCAGUGAGGUUUAUGAUAAUACUCCUUUGUUUCUGGAUUCUGAAGAUCAUUGUAUUGCCCCUGCCAUUUUUAGAUUUGAGAGUUCCUGGAUGCCUAGAGAGUGUUUUAGAGUUUUUUUCACAAAAUUUAGGAAUGAGGAUUUUUAUGGAUCCAAUCUAGGAAGAUGGCAGGAAAGAUGGAGGAAUUUAAGGAAGAAAAUUAGAGGGUGGAAUGGAAAUAAUGAUGGUUGGUAUAGGAAGGUUAAGUUGGAAAUCUUAGUAAACUUGAUGUGCUGAUAAAAAAGCUGAGAAUGUUGGCCUUAGUGCAUGUGCUAGACAUGAGCAGAAAGUGCUUAGAGGACAACUUACUAGAAUUCUAAAACAAGGGGAAUUAAAAUGGUUAUAGACAUAAUGGAAAUACUAGAUAUUAUCAUGCUAAAGUAAAUGGUAGAAGAAGAAAAAAUAGGAUCAUAUCUUUAGAGCAAGAGGAAGGUGUGAUUGAGGGUGAAGUUCAGUUGAUCGCAUACAUCACUAAAUUUUAUUAAAAAAAUGGAAACCUGAUUGUUCUAAUAUUGCUCUUCAUAAUCAAGAUUUACCUCAAAUUCCUAAUGAGUGGUUGAUAAAUUAAUAGAACCUUUUACUAUAAAAGGAAUUCAUGGUGUAGUUUCCCGAAUGGAAGAAAAUAAAAGCACUCGCCCUGAUGGGUUUCCUGCUGAUUUCUAUUAGGGGUUUUAGGAUUUGGUUAAGUGGGAUUUGAAGGACUACUUGAUGAAUUUUAUCAUGGCAAGUUGGAUAUUGCUAGGUUGAAUUAUGGGAGUAUUACUCUUGUUCCCAAUACUAAUGAUGUUAAAAAAUACAAAAGUUUAGACCUAUUUGUCUUAUGAAUAUUAGCUUUAAAACCAUUACCAAGAGGUUUUGAUGAAUAGAGUACUAUCCCUUCUUAUUUCUCCUACCCAGACUGCUUUUGUCAAGGGAGAUACAUCAUGGAAGGGGUGGUUGUUCUCCACGAAGCGUUGAAUUCUAUUCAUUUUAAGAUAGAUAAUGCCGUAUUGUUUAAUAAAGUUGAUUUUGGGAAAAGCUUUAUCAAUAUGAAAAAAUUAAGUAUCCCUUUGUGAUGCAAAUCCUUAAAAUGAAAGGAUUUCCUGAUAAAUGGCGUGACUGGGUCAUGCUCGCUGAGAGGGGGUAAUGUGGGUGUAAGAGUUAAUGAUACAAAUGGUCCUUACUUUAAAACUCACAAGGGCCUAAGAUAGGGUGAUGCUUUAUCACCUUUGGUUUUUGAUUUGGUUGCAAAUGCUCUAGUUGUCAUUAUGGAAAAAGCAAAUGUUAAUGGUUUUGUGAAGGGGGGUUUAAAUGAAAAUCUAGCUAAUUGAUUUAUAUGCUUUAAUAUUCUCAUUAUGUCAUAUUUUUACUUCAAGAUGAUGUUGGAAGUGCUAAAAAGUCAAAUUCAUAUUGAGUGCUUUUGAGCAAAUGUCUAGACUAACUAUUUAAUUUCCAUAAGAGCAGGUUGUUUCUUUUAGGGAAACUAAAAAUAAAGUUGAGUUGUAUCAAGAGAUUUUUACUUGUCAGUCGGGAGAUUUGUAUAUGAAGUAUCAGGGUAUGCUUGUCUUUGAUACUGGGAUUAGGAAUAAACAUUGUAAGGGGGUAGAAAAUAAAGUUGAGAAAAGAUGUGGAUGUUGGCACGGUAAACUACUAGGCUCUAUUGCUGAUAGGAUUACUUCGGUCCAAGCUUGCUAACCAGCAUGCCUCUUUUUAUGAUGUCUUUGUAACCCCCCCCCCCCCCUGUUGGGUGCUUAAGAAAGUUGAUUCCGUUAGAGCUAGAAUAGUGUGGGAGGGUGAUGAAGAUAAAAAGAAAAUUCACUUAGUUAACUGGAAAACCUGUUGUAAACCUAGAGACCACGGGGGUUGGGGAUCCUUAAUUUUGAUAUCAUGGAUAAAGCAUUGUUAGGUAAGUGGUUUCGGAAACUAGAAACUCAAUUUGGGCUUUGGCAAUUUGAUUUCUUGACAAAAUAUGUCCCCAGUGGGUGUAUUUCUAUAGCUAAACCCAAGGUGGGGGAUUCACAAUUCUGGUCUAGCAUUCGAAAAGUUAAAGAGAUUUUUAUCAAUUUUGUUUGGGAGAUGGUUAAGAUUGGUGGUUUUUUAGAUGAAAAACCUUUAAAAUUUGCUUGCCCAUAUGUUUUAAGCUCUGAUCAUAACAUUACUGUUGCUAAAGCCUUGUAGAAAGGCUGGGGGGUCAGGUUCAGGAGAACUAUAUAUCAGAAGUCUCUAAAGCUCUGGAAUAGUUUGAAACUUAGAUGUGAAGAGGUAGAAAAUCGGAUCUAGUAAAGAUAAGAUAAAUUGGUUGUUAACAACUCAUGGAUUUUUUUGCCAAGUCUUUAUAAGGAAAACUGGUUGAAUCUAAUUGCAAUUUCCCUUAAAAGUUUGUAUGGAAGGUCAAAGUACCGGCUAGGAUAAAGUUUUUCUCUGGCUUAUGGCUAGAAAAAGCAUACUCACCAAAGAUACUCUAUUAAGGAUAGGAUGGGUUGGUAGUAAAAUGUGUAUCUUUUCUCGUAAAGAGGAGACACUUGAUCAUUAGUCUUCCAAUUCUUUGGUAUUGGUUUGAUGUGGAGCUUGCAGAAAUGUGCUUUUAGCCUAAGUUCUACUCCUACUACACUUAAUGAUUGCUUUGGGAACUGGAUUAGAAGUUUACCAAAGAUUUAGAAAAGGCUAGUGUUGGAGGUGUAGAAAUGAUGUCAUUUUUGAGAAAAAACUUAUCAAUGAUCAUAUCAUCCCCAUAAAGUUGAUUUGAUAUUGGAUUAUUGGAUGGUUUAUUCUGUAGAUAAAGGAGGAAAAAACAGAGGGGUGCUCAUGGUAGGGGCAAAACUACUUGAGCUGGUAGCAAAUGAAGUAUAUAGAUCGUCACAGGGUUGGAGGCACGGUGUCCUGAAAUUGAUGGCAAAGUGUUGAAGCUUAAAACACUAGCAAUUACUGCUCCAUUUAUUCCCCCUAUGAGGAGUUGUCGAUUUCCCUCUUUUAGCAAUCUUUCUUGUACUUUUUCUUUUGCCAUUGAUGUACUUAUGCACCUAGUUAUGCUAGCUUGUUUAGUUGGUUUCUCGGCUCCUUCAUGAUGCGGUUGUGGAAGAAGUUUGGUCGUGUUCAUUUGUUGUUCUAGUUCUUGUGGUGCUAGAGACUGCUUAUAUGUAAGUAGCUCCUUCUUUUGGAGUUUGAUGAUUUGAUCCUUUGUUGGAUGCUUGGAGCACUGUGUUGAUCCUUGUUAGAAGCUCGAUAGAUGUUAUAUUAUGGUGGUAAUCUGUAUUAGGUGGAACUUGUGGUUUCUAUUAAUAAAAAUCAAAGGGGCAGACCCUUUUUUAUAAUAAUAAAAAGGUUUUGGGUUGGUGGGUUGCCAUAUUAACCAAUUCCCUAGCAAAAUAUAGGUUAUAGCCAGAAAAAUAGGAACCCAGUUUUAGGUAAGCUGUUUGAGCAAUUUUUUGGGCCAAAAAACCUAAUUUUUUAGUUUGUAGGUAUUUGGCUCAUUUUUAGGAUCGUUAUUGGAGAUGCUUUGAGGGCAUCAAUUUUUUAAGACCUUUUAGGGAUUUGACAAAAAGAUGUAAUGUAAAUCCAAAGGGUCUAAAACUGCAAUAAUAAGGAUCAAAUGAUCGCCUAUGGAAAUUUGCUUCAAGCGCCAACUUGAAAGAAACUUACAAGCUUCUAAGAACACGAAGGUGUCCAGGUGCGGAGGCACGGGCGAGAGAGGUAGGCCGAGGUAGAUUUGAGGGAAAGGUGUGAUGGAGCUAGGGUGGUUGCGAACACGUCAGAGGUUUGGAUCCUGAAAGGGGGCAAAAAUUGAUCACAUGAUUACUAAUUUGGUCAUCAGGCAAAAAGAAGACCUUGUCCAAGGAGGAGGUGAGCCCAGGACUCAACAAACGGUUCAUACAAAAUAAGGUAAUCGAAAAGGGAAGGGAGUUGCUUGCAUCAUAAAAUAAAAUCCCUAUUGCAGGAACAAACGAAGAGAAGGAGAUCACAAAAAGAAUCUUCUAGGAUGAUGAUUGUGAGGGCAAUAACUAAUGCCAUUGGAUUCAAUAACCAGGGUACGUUUUCUUUUCGCUUUCAAACCAAAUCCAAGGCAAGAUAAAAUCUUCUAUUUUCCUCGCCAUCAACAACAUAACAACACUUCGCCAUGGUUCUUCAGAUAAGUUUUUGGAGUGCAGAUCACCAUUCAUAAUAAAAGAUAAAAGAUCUUGGCGGAAAUGGAGGCCAAAAGAGGGACAAUCUCCGCCGGACACGCGCCUAGUGAGAGGAAAACAAGGGGAAGAGCGCAUCCCAAACUCAUCCACAGUACAAGAACACUAGGCAAGCAAUCAGCAAGCAACAAAAUACUAACGACAUCGCCAUCGAAACCAAGUGCAACAUGCCAACAUCAGAAGCACUAUCAACUGCAACAUUUCACCAUCAGAUGCAUCUAUCAACAGCUAUAUGCAAACUUGUAACCAGAUUAGCUUGCAACGAUCAGUGCAAUCCCAACUACGAAGUACGAAACAUGGUGGAUAGUUAUGCUAUAUAGGCAAAGUAGAUUGUCAGAUAAUUCCAAAGCGACAAUUGUUAUGAACGUUAUUCCUAUAUGCAGAAGUAGAUUGACAGUUAACUCCAAUUGCUACAAUGCUAAGCAUGAAGCACGACCUAAUAGUGAGAGUGUUUAUACAAUAGACUAUAUCCAUCUUAUAUAGAGUAGAACACUGGCCAGUACAAGCAUUUUUAUUAUCUCUGACUAAACCAAAAUUCAGACUAGCCACCAUGCUAUGUACUAAUGAAUCUCUAAAUAUGGUAUGUAACUAAAAAUGUGCUAUGAUGCAUGUAUACCUGGAAGUGAGCUAUAUAUUAUAUAUUUUACUAAACAGAACAGAGCAGUAAACAUCAACGUCCAACCACUACAAUCAAACUUUCUCCGACAUACUGAAGCACAAUUCAACACUAAGUGACAAUGCAAGCUGCAGCGCACGAUCAAGAACAGGUCAAGAGGACAGCGACCAAGUACACAACAACAGGACAAACAUCUUCAUCAUAAUGCGGAAGCAACAGAGAUGGCGAUAAAAAAAAUGAACAUGUUCACUCACAGCAGCACAGUCAACUACAACCGAAGCUAAAAACAUCCAUCCAUCCAUUGUGCACACUCAUCUCGAUUAGGUUACAACACAUACUGAGCAACUAAGCCGACGGAACAAUUAGUACAGAGCACAAAUCGAAGAAGCACGGUCACACCUAGGAGCUUACCACCGUCGCAACCACAGCGAGAUCCACAGACCGAAAGGCAUCACACGCAG